AUACACUCUAAAAAACGCUGGGUUGUUUUUUCAACCCAAAUGCUGGGUUGAGACCGCUAGGUAGGACAUUUGGUUGUUUUAACCCAAGUUUGGGUUGAAAAUUGGUCUUGAUCAUAACCCAGCGGCGCUGGGUUGUGAACGCGGACGUGAAGGAGAGCACGCACGUCACGUUAAAAUCGUACGUCUCCAAAGCGAGAAGCGAGUGAAAGACAUUACGGUAAGUAAAGAUUCAAAAUGUAAAAUUAACGUUUAUUGUUUACCCGGUUUAUGAAAGUCGAAAGGUUUUAUGAAAGGCGGAAACAAAAGAGUUUAACGUUAUAUAGAAACAUACGCGGACGCGGUUUUCGCCUCAGAAACGGAGGUCUUAACGGCCUCCUUUAACGUUACUGAACGGAACACGUAAGUUACUUUUAAUAUAACGUCCGUGAGUGUCUUAUGUCAUAUUUACAUAAUAUUUUACAAUAUCUGCACUUUUGAGGUGUUAAUAGACGGUUAUGGUUACGGUUACACUCAUAUUAAUUUGUUAUCUUAUUUUUCGCGGUUAAACUGAAUGUACGUUAGUUUCCUAAAGGAAACCGCGUUAUGUAAUAAAGAUUAGCAUGAUUAUUUUGAGGCUGUUGAAGUGGUAAUUGUUAAAAGUAUGUUUUACAUGUAAUAUUUCAGACUUGUCGAGCUCGUCAUUGUCAAGACACCUGCUUGUGUGAGGAGGAGGCGGUGUUCUCAGCUUCUUCUGAAGAGAGGGACAGACGGGUUUAAGGCAAGUGAACUUCAGAAUUAUGUUAUCUUUUUUUUUUUUACUAAGACUAAAAUAAUGUUUGUUUUUGUAGAUGUUGAAAGCCAGAGACAUAGGAGAGCAUCAUUCUUUUGAGAUUUAUGUAAGUUAUUUUUUAGCAAAAUUAAUGUUUCUGUUGUCUCAUGCCUCUUUACUUCACAUUUUGAUGCAACAGCAGUAUGAUUACAUGUUCAUAUUCUAUUGAAACCAGUGAUGUCCCUUUUUUCUUUGCAGAACUCAAGCUAACUUUGGAGUUAAGGACACAGAAGUCUGCUUGUGUGAGGAAGAGGCGGUGUUCUCAGCUUCUUCUGAAGAGAGGGAAAGAUAAUUUAAGGCAAGUGAACUUCAUAAUUUCAUAAUAUCAGUUAUCAGUUGUUUUCUUUUACUAAGAGUAAAAUAAUGUUUGUUUUUUGUUUUUGUAGAUGUUGAAAGCCAGAGACAUAGGUGAGCGUCAUUCUUUUGAGAUUUAUGUAAGUUAUUUUUAGCAAAAUAAAUGUUUCUGUUGUCUCCUGUCUCUUUACUUCACAUUUUGAUGCAACAACAGUGUGAUUAUGUGCUCAUUUCAUUAAAACCAUCGAUGUCUGUUUUUCAUUGCAGAACUCAAACCAACUUUGGAGUUGUCUGAUUUGGAGACUCAUCAUUCUUGGUCUUCCCUCUUAAGGGAAUAGUUCACACAAAAAAUCAUUUAGUUGCCCUCAUGUCAUUCCAAACCUAUACGACUUUUGUCUGUCUUUAGAAUACAAAUGAAUAUAUUUUGAAUUUUCAGAGUUAUUGUAGAAGUAAUCCAUUCCGAUAUUUAUAUAUGAUUAAAUCUUAAAUUAUAUGAUAGCGAACAUGUCUGUUCAGAAGAAAAUAUUGGUCUCCCAGACUAGCAAUGGAGGACAAAAAUUAAUAGAAUAUUAAAUAUAUUUAUUUGUGUUCCAAAACUUAGCAGAGUUUGUAUGGGUCUGGAACAACAUGGGGGAGUAAAUUAUGACCAUUUUCAUUUUUUGGUGGACUAACCCUUUGAAGAGCAGCCCUCAACGUACAUGAACAUUUGUGAG
ensembl:lncRNA